UACGUAGGGUGCAAGCGUUAAUCGGAAUUACUGGGCGUAAAGCGUGCGCAGGCGGUGAUGUAAGACAGAUGUGAAAUCCCCGGGCUCAACCUGGGAACUGCAUUUGUGACUGCAUCGCUGGAGUGCGGCAGAGGGGGAUGGAAUUCCGCGUGUAGCAGUGAAAUGCGUAGAGAUGCGGAGGAACACCGAUGGCGAAGGCAGCCCCCCUGGGCUAGCACUGACGCUCAGGCACGAAAGCGUGGGGAGCAAACAGG
rnacentral:rRNA from 1 species